AUCAGGGGUAAACCUGUGGAACUCGAACGAACGAACGGGGAGAUUCAACGUGUUUCCGUUUACGGAUCCGCGACGCGAUCGUUUCGCGUCGGUUGCGUCGUCUCGUGCGGCGUUAAUCGGCGCGGCGGUCGCGUCGUAGUAAGGUUCGCGGAACGCGUGCACUUCUCCCUUAGUAAAACACCGCGACCCGUUCGGUUGUUCUCGGGAUCGAACGCGUCGUGCGGUUGACCCGUUUCGAACGUUAAAAAUUCGGAACGGAGCCGCGACGUCGCGAUCUCGGACGGACGGUAAAAUUACGAGGUACGCUUUCGCCGCUCGUCGGCGUCCGUGUUUCGAACCGAAUCGGUCUCGUUCGGACCUCGACGUUCACGCGUCGCGGGUUCCGCGCGCAGUCUGCCGGUUCGCCGUUGUCGAAACGUCUCGGACGGAAAGCGUCCCGGUCGGCGGUGGUUAUGUUUCGGGCACUCACAGGACCCGUCUUGAA
rnacentral:rRNA from 1 species